rnacentral:lncRNA from 1 species
UCGAUCCGCCAUUGUCAUAAUGGUAGCCUUACCCUUUGAACUAGGCAAGCAGGUUAUGAAAUCCAAGGUAAUCUCCUCUAAACUAAAUCCGGCACCGGUAGUGGUUGCGAUUGACCCGCUGGUGGUCCAAAUAAGUCCUUCAUUUGCUUGCAUACUUGGCAUGCAAACAUAAAAAAUUGUACAUACUUGCGCAUCUCUUUCCUAAAGAAGUUUGCAAAGAGCCUAUAGAAGGUGCGAGAUAUACCGGCAUGUCCUCCAAUAAGGGAUGAAUGAAACUCCUCUAGGAGCUGU